AUGAAAUAUCAGGGUUUUGGUGGGGAGAUAGUGAGGAGAAGAAGAAGAUGCACUGGUUUGCUUGGUGGAAAAUGUGUGUAUCAAAGAGGAAAGGGGUUGGAGUUUAGAGACCUGCAUAGUUUCAAUCUUGCUAUGUUAGCAAAACAAUGUUGGCGACUACUCCAGAACCCGGAUUCUUUAUGUGCACGUGUGUUGAGCGCCAAAUACUAUCCUGACGGGAACAUUUUGAAGGCUGGUCUGGAGAAGGGGUCGUCGUAUACGUGGCAAAGCAUUGUUUGUGGCAUUCAGACUUUUCAGAGGGGCUGCAUAUGGCGUAUCGGAAUGGGAGCGCAGAUAAAUAUAUGGCAAGAUUCAUGGGUCCCAUCAUGCCCGUCUCGAAUGGUUAUUACCCCAAGAGGUGCAACAAUGCUUAGAUAUGUGGAGGAGCUCAUAGACACUACAAAAAAAAGACACAUCUGCGACAUUUUGGGCCGAACGAAAAAAAAUCUGUCAUGCUUAUGA
rnacentral:rRNA from 1 species